rnacentral:rRNA from 1 species
UAGAAGAGGACAGUGGGAACUCCAUGUGUAGCGGUGAAAUGCGUAGAUAUAUGGAAGAACACCAGUGGCGAAGGCGGCUGUCUGGUCUGUAACUGACGCUGAGGCUCGAAAGUAUGGGUAGCAAACAGGAUUAGAUACCCUGGUAGUCCAUACCGUAAACGAUGAAUGCUAAGUGUUGGAGGGUUUCCGCCCUUCAGUGCUGCAGCUAACGCAUUAAGCAUUCCGCCUGGGGAGUACGGCCGCAAGGCUGAAACUCAAAGGAAUUGACGGGGGCCCGCACAAGCGGUGGAGCAUGUGGUUUAAUUCGAAGCUACGCGAAGAACCUUACCAGGUCUUGACAUACUAUGCAAAUCUAAGAGAUUAGACGUUCCCUUCGGGGACAUGGAUACAGGUGGUGCAUGGUUGUCGUCAGCUCGUGUCGUGAGAUGUUGGGUUAAGUCCCGCAACGAGCGCAACCCUUAUUAUCAGUUGCCAGCAUUAAGUUGGGCACUCUGGUGAGACUGCCGGUGACAAACCGGAGGAAGGUGGGGAUGACGUCAAAUCAUCAUGCCCCUUAUGACCUGGGCUACACACGUGCUACAAUGGAUGGUACAACGAGUUGCGAACUCGCGAGAGUAAGCUAAUCUCUUAAAGCCAUUCUCAGUUCGGAUUGUAGGCUGCAACUCGCCUACAUGAAGUCGGAAUCGCUAGUAAUCGCGGAUCAGCAUGCCGCGGUGAAUACGUUCCCGGGCCUUGUACACACCACCCGUCACACCAUGAGAGUUUGUAACACCCAAAGUCGGUGGGGUAACCUUUUAGGAACCAGCCGCCUAAGGUGGGACAGAUGAUUAGGGUGAAGUCGUAACAAGGUAGCGUA